AGCCUUCCAAAUCAGUCCCGAGAUUUCAUCGGACACUAGUCUAUCGGGGCGGAGGAAACUCCAAAGAUAAGUAGGGCC
rfam:Schistosoma mansoni strain Puerto Rico chromosome 3, complete genome